rnacentral:rRNA from 1 species
GAUGAACGCUGGCGGCGUGCCUAAUACAUGCAAGUCGAGCGAACGGACGAGAAGCUUGCUUCUCUGAUGUUAGCGGCGGACGGGUGAGUAACACGUGGAUAACCUACCUAUAAGACUGGGAUAACUUCGGGAAACCGUAGCUAAUACCGGAUAAUAUUUUGAACCGCAUGGUUCAAAAGUGAAAGACGGUCUUGCUGUCACUUAUAGAUGGAUCCGCGCUGCAUUAGCUAGUUGGUAAGGUAACGGCUUACCAAGGCAACGAUGCAUAGCCGACCUGAGAGGGUGAUCGGCCACACUGGAACUGAGACACGGUCCAGACUCCUAAGGGAGGCAGCAGUAGGGAAUCUUACGCAAUGGGCGAAAGCCUGACGGAGCAACGCCGCGUGAGUGAUGAAGGUCUUCGGAUCGUAAAACUCUGUUAUUAGGGAAGAACAUAUGUGUAAGUAACUGUGCACAUCUUGACGGUACCUAAUCAGAAAGCCACGGCUAACUACGUG